rnacentral:rRNA from 1 species
GGUUAAGCGACUAAGCGUACACGGUGGAUGCCCUGGCAGUCAGAGGCGAUGAAGGACGUGCUAAUCUGCGAAAAGCGUCGGUAAGGUGAUAUGAACCGUUACAGCCGGCGAUGUCCGAAUGGGGAAACCCAGUGCAAUUCGUUGCACUAUCGUUAACUGAAUACAUAGGUUAACGAGGCGAACCGGGGGAACUGAAACAUCUAAGUACCCCGAGGAAAAGAAAUCAACCGAGAUUCCCCCAGUAGCGGCGAGCGAACGGGGAGCAGCCCAGAGUCUGAAUCAGCUUGUGUGUUAGUGGAACGGUCUGGAAAGUCCGACGGUACAGGGUGAUAGUCCCGUACACCAAAAUGCACAGGUUGUGAACUCGAAGAGUAGGGCGGGACACGUGGUAUCCUGUCUGAAUAUGGGGGGACCAUCCUCCAAGGCUAAAUACUCCUGACUGACCGAUAGUGAACCAGUACCGUGAGGGAAAGGCGAAAAGAACCCCGGCGAGGGGAGUGAAAAAGAACCUGAAACCGUGUACGUACAAGCAGUGGGAGCACCUUUAUGGUGUGACUGCGUACCUUUUGUAUAAUGGGUCAGCGACUUAUAUUCUGUAGCAAGGUUAACCGUAUAGGGGAGCCGCAGGGAAACCGAGUCUUAACUGGGCGUUAAGUUGCAGGGUAUAGACCCGAAACCCGGUGAUCUAGCCAUGGGCAGGUUGAAGGUUGGGUAACACUAACUGGAGGACCGAACCGACUAAUGUUGAAAAAUUAGCGGAUGACUUGUGGCUGGGGGUGAAAGGCCAAUCAAACCGGGAGAUAGCUGGUUCUCCCCGAAAGCUAUUUAGGUAGCGCCUCGUGAACUCAUCUUCGGGGGUAGAGCACUGUUUCGGCUAGGGGGUCAUCCCGACUUACCAACCCGAUGCAAACUACGAAUACCGAAGAAUGUUAUCACGGGAGACACACGGCGGGUGCUAACGUCCGUCGUGAAGAGGGAAACAACCCAGACCGCCAGCUAAGGUCCCAAAGUCAUGGUUAAGUGGGAAACGAUGUGGGAAGGCACAGACAGCCAGGAUGUUGGCUUAGAAGCAGCCAUCAUUUAAAGAAAGCGUAAUAGCUCACUGGUCGAGUCGGCCUGCGCGGAAGAUGUAACGGGGCUAAACCAUGCACCGAAGCUGCGGCAGCGACACUAUGUGUUGUUGGGUAGGGGAGCGUUCUGUAAGCCUGCGAAGGUGACCUGUGAGGGUUGCUGGAGGUAUCAGAAGUGCGAAUGCUGACAUAAGUAACGAUAAAGCGGGUGAAAAGCCCGCUCGCCGGAAGACCAAGGGUUCCUGUCCAACGUUAAUCGGGGCAGGGUGAGUCGACCCCUAAGGCGAGGCCGAAAGGCGUAGUCGAUGGGAAACAGGUUAAUAUUCCUGUACUUGGUGUUACUGCGAAGGGGGGACGGAGAAGGCUAUGUUAGCCGGGCGACGGUUGUCCCGGUUUAAGCAUGUAGGCUGGUUAUCCAGGCAAAUCCGGAUAAUCAAGGCUGAGGUGUGAUGACGAGGUACUACGGUGCUGAAGUAACAAAUGCCCUGCUUCCAGGAAAAGCCUCUAAGCAUCAGGUAACAUCAAAUCGUACCCCAAACCGACACAGGUGGUCAGGUAGAGAAUACCAAGGCGCUUGAGAGAACUCGGGUGAAGGAACUAGGCAAAAUGGUGCCGUAACUUCGGGAGAAGGCACGCUGGUGUGUAGGUGAAGUCCCUGCGGAUGGAGCUGAGACCAGUCGAAGAUACCAGCUGGCUGCAACUGUUUAUUAAAAACACAGCACUGUGCAAACACGAAAGUGGACGUAUACGGUGUGACGCCUGCCCGGUGCCGGAAGGUUAAUUGAUGGGGUUAUCCGUAAGGAGAAGCUCUUGAUCGAAGCCCCGGUAAACGGCGGCCGUAACUAUAACGGUCCUAAGGUAGCGAAAUUCCUUGUCGGGUAAGUUCCGACCUGCACGAAUGGCGUAAUGAUGGCCAGGCUGUCUCCACCCGAGACUCAGUGAAAUUGAACUCGCUGUGAAGAUGCAGUGUACCCGCGGCAAGACGGAAAGACCCCGUGAACCUUUACUAUAGCUUGACACUGAACAUUGAGCCUUGAUGUGUAGGAUAGGUGGGAGGCUUUGAAGCGUGGACGCCAGUCUGCGUGGAGCCAACCUUGAAAUACCACCCUUUAAUGUUUGAUGUUCUAACGUUGGCCCCUAAUCGGGGUUGCGGACAGUGUCUGGUGGGUAGUUUGACUGGGGCGGUCUCCUCCCAAAGCGUAACGGAGGAGCACGAAGGUUAGCUAAUCCUGGUCGGACAUCAGGAGGUUAGUGCAAUGGCAUAAGCUAGCUUGACUGCGAGCGUGACGGCGCGAGCAGGUGCGAAAGCAGGUCAUAGUGAUCCGGUGGUUCUGAAUGGAAGGGCCAUCGCUCAACGGAUAAAAGGUACUCCGGGGAUAACAGGCUGAUACCGCCCAAGAGUUCAUAUCGACGGCGGUGUUUGGCACCUCGAUGUCGGCUCAUCACAUCCUGGGGCUGAAGUAGGUCCCAAGGGUAUGGCUGUUCGCCAUUUAAAGUGGUACGCGAGCUGGGUUUAGAACGUCGUGAGACAGUUCGGUCCCUAUCUGCCGUGGGCGCUGGAGAAUUGAGGGGGGCUGCUCCUAGUACGAGAGGACCGGAGUGGACGCAUCACUGGUGUUCGGGUUGUCAUGCCAAUGGCACUGCCCGGUAGCUAAAUGCGGAAGAGAUAAGUGCUGAAAGCAUCUAAGCACGAAACUUGCCCCGAGAUGAGUUCUCCCUGAGACUUUAAGUCUCCUGAAGGAACGUUAAAGACGAUGACGUUGAUAGGCCGGGUGUGUAAGCGCAGCGAUGCGUUGAGCUAACCGGUACUAAUGAACCGUGAGGCUUAACCUU